rnacentral:rRNA from 1 species
UGAGGAAUAUUGGUCAAUGGGCGCAAGCCUGAACCAGCCAUGCCGCGUGCAGGAAGACGGUCCUAUGGAUUGUAAACUGCUUUUAUUCGGGAAUAAACCUCUUUACGUGUAGAGAGCUGAAGGUACCGAAUGAAUAAGCACCGGCUAACUCCGUGCCAGCAGCCGCGGUAAUACGGAGGGUGCAAGCGUUAUCCGGAAUCAUUGGGUUUAAAGGGUCCGCAGGCGGAUUUAUAAGUCAGUGGUGAAAUCCCGUUGCUUAACAACGGAACUGCCAUUGAUACUGUAAGUCUUGAAUUCGAUCGAAGUGGGCGGAAUAUGACAUGUAGCGGUGAAAUGCUUAGAUAUGUCAUAGAACACCGAUAGCGAAGGCAGCUCACUAGGUCUGGAUUGACGCUCAGGGACGAAAGCGUGGGGAGCAAACA